rnacentral:rRNA from 1 species
AUGAACACCGGAGCCGAGGCGUACGUGGUGAUUAUCGCUGCCGACCCGCUGGACGGCGCUGGCGCUGGCGACGGUGCGGUCCCCGUCUCCAGGUCACCAGCAGCCUCCUCGGUCGACGGGGCACCGGCCAACGGGGCCGGCGCUGCCUCGGGCGCGGUCUCUGUCUCUAGGUUACCAGUGUUGGAAUUGAUCUACGGUUAUAACAAACUGAGACAAAGAAGGGGAGGAUUUGCAUCCCCAGUACAUGCCCUGAUCGGGGGCAUUGACCCAACUUUUGGUUUUGGUCCCUGUCCCCUUCGCACCACUUACAAAAUGAGGAGGUCGUACCCCUUGGGGGUGACACACGUACGGGUUAGCACCCGGUUACUCCUAACAGCCGAUCCUGAAAAGGUGCUUAAGGGGAUCAGAAGACCACCACCACCGCCGGCCACCUCCAGGUCCGUGCCGGCGGCAUCCUUCGUGUCUGCUACAUCGCCUGCUGAUGCCCUUCCUCCCGACGAUCUUCUCACUGCUGGAGAUGCUAAGGUGGAGCCAGGGGCUAUCCUGUUAAUGGAUCAAGAUAAUCACGACGAACCUUAUGCAAAGAACUUUCCCACAUGGAGAGUGGAGAUCAUUGUCUCAUGUAAGGAAUCUCCCAAUGUUUUUCUGCCACUAAGGUUGAAGGAUGUUAAUCAUGAUGAUAAGGCAGACAUUGGGAGAGAUCUCAAGACGCAUGUGCCAUCAUGCACAUUACUAAUGCAAAGGAGACUAAAGUCAAAACUAUUGGAUUUAUUCCACUAG